CCCUUAGAUGUCCUGGGCCGCACGCGUGCUACACUGACGCCUACAGCGAGUACUUCCCAGCCCCGAGAGGUGGCUGGUAAUCAGCAAUAGGCGUCGUGAUGGGGAUAGAUCUUUGGAAUUAUGGAUCUUGAACGAGGAAUGCCUAGUAAGCGCAGGUCAUUAGCCUGCGCUGAUUAAGUCCCUGCCCUUUGUACACACCGCCCGUCGCUCCUACCGAUUUCGAGUGGUCCGGUGAAUCUUUCGGACUGCGCGCGGCCUCGUGCCGUGUCGCGGAAAGUCAGGUAAACCUUAUCACUUAGAGGAAGGAGAANUCGUAACA
rnacentral:rRNA from 1 species